AUGGCCAUUAGGGAUGAGAAAUCAUCCCCUCAUGAAACACUGAAUCUGCCACUGCCUUAAUCUUGGACUUCCCGCCUCCGGAACUGUGAAAAACAAGUUUGUUGUUUGUAAACCACCCUAUCUAUGGUCUUCUGUUAUAGCAACCAAUGAACUAAGACAAAAGGUCAGCUUCAACACCGGCGGUGGCAGAGAAGAGCCACCAACAGCAAUGCUCACUCGAGGCACAGAGAUCCUGAUGGUGUUGUGGGCACUUAAAAGUGCCAAGAGAGAGGAGAUGUACGGAGGGUGAGGGGAAAGAGAAUCCAUGCUGUGUAUGGAGCCUGAUGCAGGGCUCAAUCCCUUGACCCUGUGAUCAUUACAAGAGCUGAAACCAAAAGUCAACUGCUUAACCAACUGAGCCAUCCAGCCUUGUGGUUUCCUGACCUUAACAUCGCCCUCUGUAGAACUGGGGACCUUUUGCACCUCACCUCACAGGAAUUGGACGGCGUGCUCAGUGACUGCAGCGUGGGCAGGGGGCAUACCCAAUCUUAGAAGAUGGCAUCUCUGCCUUAAAGACUUAAAAGGAAGGUAUCCCUUUUUGCCACUGCCAAUCCUCAUCACUAGUCUCUCCAGGAUCCUAAAGAGCUUCUGCUUAAAUUCGUUGAAGCCAACAAGGGUUCUAUGGCAACUUUCACACAAUGGACCCAGGAAAGAUGUGGAAACUUGCCUUGCUCUGUCUGCAGCCUCACACAUGUGCUUGAUCAAACAUGCUACACUGGUUGUCCAGAAAUUCAGUUUUCCUAGUGCUGCCAGAGAUCUGAGUUGGCGACCCUCCUCUGCUCUGUGGUACAUUACCAGAGAAGAUGCCCAUCUUUCUUAAAUUUCCCUCUGGCACAUGCUGAGAUUUGUGACCAAAGUUUGUAGGUCAAUUCUGUGUCCAUAAUACCAGGAGGAUGCUGAGAAAAAAGGUCAUUUCCUCCUAAAUUUAUAUUCUCUGUGUGUACUCCAGAACUAUUAAGGUUUUAAUGAGGAUUACAGAUGAUGAUUACAGUCUAACCAAACUUCUUUGGUGAUACAGCUCUUGUCUCCAGCAGUGUAUGUGUAUGUAUUCUAUAUAACUUUAAAAAGUAGAAGGCCUACUUCAUACAAUUCUUUUAUACGAUUACCUUUGAUUUUCAUCCUUAGAACAGGAAAAGUAGGUAUUAUUAUCUCGAUCAACCAGGACAAAAUCGAGUCCCAGGGAGUUACAAAUGCUCCUGACAUGGAGCUGAAAGACGAGAACUAGAAUUGGAAUCUAGAUCCUUUGACGAGAGGCUCACAGAAUUUGCAAGAGCAGGAAGUUGGGGAAAAACUUGGAGAAGAAAUUGAGGGGCUGGGCAGCCAGCUUUACUAUAGGUCACCCCCAUCCCUUGCUCUGAAUCGAAUCCAGGAAGCUUAGGUUCAGAGGCAGGUCAUGGGAAUAAAGUUAUAAUUACUGAGUGAAACAGCUGUUGAAAUGAGCCGCAAACAUUUUGGCUCCCUCUUCCCUUUUAGAAUCCUGUAUAUUAGUGGGUUCCAGUUCAUGUCCUGAGGAGCCUUUGAGUUCGUGAAGGUUCCUGAUGGUCAACAUGACGGAACAUCUCUACAGUGCCAUGGUCAUUGGCUUCAGAUAUUGGGCACCUGAAUAAGAUUUAAUUUGAAGAACAUUCUGCUACUUAAGAAAAUUUUUGAAAAUCAUCAUUAUACAGGACUAUUUAACCUCUUGCCUGUUUAGUUCUCUAGGACAUCUGGAAAAAUUUCACCCAAGGAAUUCACUAUUAAAAGAGGUAAACCAUGACCCAUACUGACACAGAGGGAGCUAGGAGCUGGCUUAAGACAUCGGAUUUAGAAGCCACGGGGACGAGAUCAUCAAGGGUCAGAGGAGGUGGCCCACCAAGGCUGUGAGGGUGGGAAUUGGAGGCUGAGCAGGACCACAUCAGGGAAUCUAUGUGUUGCAAAUAGGAACUGAGAAAUAA